GACAACGCAGCCAAGGAUUUUAAAAAAGGACCGAAAUCCAAAGUGCUGAAAAAUGUUACGAACUUCACGGAACUGAGCGGGGAGUCCUUUCGGUUCAAGUUAUUUUUAUUUAAUGCUUAAGUGCUGGCUCACGAGUCACGACCCAUGCAUCCGUUUUUACGCGCCUUCUCUUUGCUUUUGAAAUUACGUCAAUGUCCUUUCCUUUUCUUACUCCUUCCCUUCUUUAGAUGUGUGGAUCAAUGAGAAUUUUAUAUUUAUAUUUUAUUUGAUUUGAUGAAAAUGAAGUUGACAACCUUGGUAACAAGUUGCUGAUACCUUUUCAAUAAUUAGAAAAAUUUUAAGGAAAAUAUUUGUUUUAUUUUAUUACGUAAUAAAGUAUUUAUUUAAUUUUAUUUUGAUGAAAUAGAUGACAAAUACUCGAAGGAAUGUUAUUUUACAAAUCCUAACAAUGAGACUUUAUUCAUCCUUUUGGAAAUUUAUUUUUAUUUUUGAGUAAAAUUUAAGAUUUUAUUCGAAAAUAUAUAUAUGAAAAAAAUAUUAUUAUUUAUUAAUUAAAUCGUUAAUUUAUGUAAUGCAUACUUGUCACACAAUUUUCAUUCUCAUUAAAUCAUAACAUUUAUAAAAAAAAAGGUUACAUGUACAUUUAAUAUUUUUAUAAUUUUAUGUAAUUAACAUGUUAA
rnacentral:lncRNA from 1 species